UCCGGCGGCCUGCAGCUCUUUCUGCCCACAAAUUAUUCAUCGUGCUCCCUGCAGGCCCCAGCUGUCAAUCCCAGAAGAGUUGGUAGGGUAGAUGGGCAAGGGGGCUCUUGAGCAAGCUGACUCAGGAGGGUUGGAGAAGACGAUGCCUGAAGUCUCCCAUGUUGAGUACAGGAGGUCCAACCUAAGAAGCUUUCAUUAGUUCUGUGGAUCAUUCCUGGUGUAAACAAGGACUUGUUUAUUGAGGAUAGAAAGAGGAAGCUGUAUAAUUCCACCAUGACACCUCCAUCACAACCAUGGCAGCAGGUGGAGUCCUCCGUGCCUCACAGGUGGCAGAGCAGCUGGCCCACUAUGUCUAUGUGUCAGAGGCGGUAAUCACAGAGGAGACGUUUGAUGAGGCCGUACAUACAGUUUGGCAAAGUGCAAGGCGACCCCAACCACAGCUGAGCAGGAUGACCUGUUUGCAUGCCUCCUUGGUUGCCCUCAGCACCUACUGGGAAAAGAGCAUGAAAGGACAACUACACCACCAACAUACUACCUUGUCAGCC